rnacentral:rRNA from 1 species
UACAGAGGGUGCGAACGUUAUUCGGAAUCACUGGGCUUAAAGGGCGCGUAGGCGGGCAACCAAGUCCGGGGUGAAAUCCUCCAGCUCAACUGGAGAAGUGCCUCGGAUACUGGCUGCCUCGAGGAGGGUAGGGGCAUCUGGAACUAGCGGUGGAGCGGUGAAAUGCGUUGAUAUCGCUAGGAACUCCGGUGGCGAAGGCGAGGUGCUGGACCCUUUCUGACGCUGAGGCGCGAAAGCCAGGGGAGCGAACGGG